GACGGGGGCGGGAAGGGGGGAACAAAAAUCCCCCUUAGACCUUCGGAAACCGCAGGGGCGGGGCAGGGGCGGCCACUCGCGGGCCCCGACCGUGGGCAGGGACGGGACGUCUCAUCUGGGAGAAACCCUCCGAGCGGGGCGUCCCCAGGCAGCCACUGCACAAGGGGAGACAGACCAGGGGAAAGGAAGGUGGCUUCCCGAGCAUGCAAUCUCCAGGUCUCUCCCCAGCGCACCGGGAGUCUCUGCGUCCUGGAUCUGGCGUCUAACUCCCCCCCCCCCCCGCUUCUCCCCACGCGCCGAAUCGCGCAAGCAGUUUUCUGUGUGCUGGGAGCUGGAAUACGUCGUUUCCCCGGUUCUUUCCGUGCCCCAGCCUUGCCCCUCCCCGCCUGGGUGGGCACUGGGAGGGAACUUCCUUAGCACUUUCAGAGGUGGGGUUAACGCGACGCAGCGGCCGUGAUGGUAAAAGCACCCAGCCUGGCGAGGGAAUCUGGGUUUAGGACCAGCCCUGCUCAUGACCCAAGGGGUGAUGGAGCCUCCCAGCUCCUGAAAGCCUUGGCUCUUGUAGCUGUAAAAAUCGUUUUCUUAGUAUCGUCUACUUUUCCGUGGUCCUUUGCGUUACCAAAAAUAUGUCUUAGGGGUCUGUUCUCUUACCAGGACUCAAAACCCAAUCCUUUAGCCCUUUCUUAGGUUGAAAAGGGUCCUUGGAGUCGUUGUCACAGAAGAUGUCCCAGAUUGCUUCAGUGUCCCACAUCUCAUACAAAAAUCCGGAGCUCUCAGGGAAGAGAACUGGGAACUAAAAAGCAAAACCUACUGUGCUCAUCAUGUACAAAUUUGUGGUGACUUGACUUCUCUGAGUAUUUGCCAACCGCCGGAACAGUGAAGUCAAGAAGCCUCCACACAGGGGCGGAAGGAAAAGGCUGAAGAAAAUUGAAGUCAGUUUCUCAAACUUUCAAGGAGAUAGCUGGAUGGCUUCAGUAUGGACUUGCUAGAUUUCCAAAGAAAAUUUCCGAACGCUUUGCUGUGCUCCAGGAAGUAUGAAAAGUACUGUAUGUGCCCCCCCCCCGUGUGAUUACCCCAUUUCCUAGACGAGAAAAGCGAGGAGUGAAGAAAUCACCUGUCUCACCAAGGUUCACAACAGCGAGUGAACUAGGAUAAUGGACCCUUGUCUGGCCCCAAAAUUGCAAGCUCUUACACUCUUCAAAAUUUCACCAACAUAGGAUUCACAUUAAAAAUAAGUAAAUCCCUGCAGGCUCUCAAAGUGAUACAGAGGAGAGGCCUCUUGGGGUCUUGGAGGAAAAGAAAUGGCACUUGUGCAUUGCCCCUCUGUGAUACCAAACUCUGAGGACAGAAUGCCGAGACAGCGGUGGUAUGGAGGCACAAAGGUUGCAUGUAGACAUACGAUUCUGGUUCUGCCUCUGACCAGCCAGGUGACCCUGAACAAGCCACUUCACCCCGAGGCCUAAGUUUAUUUUUUAAGUGGAGUGUGACAUGGAGGUCAGAGUUUGGUUGAAUUACUUCAUCUCUGAGGUCUUUCCCGGUUCUGACCUUGAAUGAAUGUAUGGUCCUCCAGGCAGACCGCAUGCCUAUGGAGGAAGCUAAGUGAUAAAGCCAGAAGGUCUCAGGGAGAGAACUGUUUUCACACUGCCUUCGGAAUCAGAAUGAAUGUGGGGGGUGUUGCGGGGUGUUCACAGGCAAAAUACACACAUACACACACACACACACACAACCCACACACUAAGAUUUAGCACUAAGCCUGCAGACUCCAUUUAAAUAAUUUUACUUCUAAAAAUUAAAAAAAUAUAUUAUUAAUUUAGAAACCCAUGAAGUACAUCCGACCAGCCAUAUUUCUGUCUUUAGAAUAGAUCACAGAAAAGCAAUACACAAGUAAGAAUAUUUUUUUCAUGUUUAUUUUUGAGAGAGAGAGAGAGCGUGAGUGGGGAAGGGGCAGAGAGAGGGAGACAGGAUCUGAGCUUUCAGCACAGAGCCCUCCACGGGGCUCAAACUCAUGAACUGUGAGAUCAUAACCUGAGCUGAAACCAGACGCUCAACCCACUGAGCCACCCAGGCACCCCAGAAUAUUUUUUAAAUAGUCCAAUGUGAAGUGAAAAAAAGCCUUUCAUUCUUUGAAUAACUAUAGAAAAGCUAGUCAGUCACAAGCUACUUUUAAAAAAGAAAAAAAAAAAAACACUUCCUAAAUCUGCAUCACACUCAAAUCUCCUUAAUAUGCAUCAGAAUGAACAGGAUAGUUGAUAGCACAGGUCCCAAAUACAUCGUGACAGGUUUACUUGAAAACUUUGCAGUUUUAGGAACUUGUCAAUAUUAAAUAUCCCCCCAAAUAUUUCAACUUGUUGUAAACCUGAUUCAGACUCUAAAUACAGGCAGAAUCUCAUGGGCCCUCAUGAUUCUUCCUAUCUCCAAUUUUUCCUCCCAUUAAUUUAUUAAUUGUACACCUUCAGAAACAUUGAAAUCACUCAAAGCAAAACAAAACAAGUUCCUCAAUCAAAGAGGACAGGAAAGUAAGCAAACUAUUGCGGGAAAAUGCUUAUGAUCUCCAGCGUUCUUCCACAAAUGUUAAAGUCCUAUAUAUUAUUCAUGUAUUUGUUUUUAUCCUAAAAGAAUAUUUGGAAGCUGAUAGUAAUGGUGGGAAAUAACAAUGGGGAGCUUUUUAAAAAUACAUAAUGCUGGUCUGUAUCCCCUGCUCCCCAUAUUUCAUUCAUCUUAGUCCCUGAGUUCAGGGUGGAAGCUUGGGUCGGUGUAUGUGUGUAACUCAUAUUUUUAGACAGUAUUUUAUUGAGAACAUUUUCACAUUCAAUAAAAAGCACGACCUUCAUUGUAUGUACAGUUUGACGAUUUUUUUUAUAUGGAUGCAUCCAUGGGACCACCGUCCAGACCCAAGAUACAGAAAAUGUCCAUCACCACAAAAAUUUCCCUUGUGUGACCUCUCAGUCUGUAUCACCUCUCCAGGCUAACUUCUGUCACUAUAGAGUAGUUUUGCUAGUUCUCAAACUUCAUGACUGGAAUUACACUGUGUGUGUGUGUAUAUGUGUGUGUACAUAUCACUUUGCUUAUCCAUUCUCCUGUUGAUGUUUUUGAAAACAUUUCCGAAGUAAUUCCGUUAUACCAGCCCCCUUUAAUUCAGAACCACUGACUUAACAGCACAAAUAUAACAAAAUAAGUCUAGAUUAUUAACACAAAAACAUGUUAAGCAUGAGAAGGGAAGAAAGAGAACACUUUGGAAGGAUGAAAUUUAAGAGUGCUUUAAUCGUUGUGUGCAUUCAGAGCUCCUUAUUAAUGAAAACAAAUUAGCGAAUUGACUACAAUAUGAACUUCUUGUUAUCUGGUGAUUUUUUUUUAAAGCUACAUGAUUCUGCAGAGUUGUUGUGUACAGCCACGAGUAUAGUACCCAAUGCCACUCCAUGAGCUAAAAUAGUCUGGAGUGUGAAUGGCAUUCUCUGGAGUUGUGCAAUGUGGUGACCAGGGCACUGCGCAUUCUCCCUUUAGAGAUAGUUUCGUGGUACCUGCUUUGGAAGAAUCAUUUCUGACGCAGAAGACUGAGCCCUUCUUCCCUCCUGGUUGCAUCUUUGAGGCUUUUCGUUUGAGUAAGAGAAGGGCCCCCACCCCAGCCUUUCCCAAGGUUGACUAAGCCAGGAAGUCACAUUCUUCUCAAAUGUUGGGAAAAUGAUGAGAGACUUAUGGAGGCACAGAUUAGAUGAAAGAGUACACUGUUUAUUUGGGUUUGCUCUGUAGUCUGGAGGUUUGGCAUUACCUGCAUCCUUUCAUGUCACACAGUGUCUCCAUUUCGUCAUGUGUCCUAAUGUUUCAACUCUCCCGCUCCUGACGCAUCCUCCUCUCUGGCCAUUUCCUCUCCAUUUCAUUUCUCUUUCCUUUGCCCAUUCUUCAGCAGAAGGCGCUCUGCCUCCCACAGGGACUGACUACUCCCUGACCUGAGCCAAAGGAGAAAGAGCCUCCAUUUCCAUGCCAGUCAACCUAAGCCACAAGUGAAUUAUUUCCUUGUUACUUCCUUCUGGAAAGAAUGUCAAACACAAACAUUUUGAGGUUGUACUUUUUUCAGGCUGGGAGGAGAAAGGCGAAUCAGUGUCCUGAGACGCUUUGCCAGCUCUUCUGGCGGCUACAGUUGACCACUGGGCAAUGAUGUCAGCUAGCUAUCUGGACAUCAGGCAGACUCGCUCUAGGCACAUCACUAGUUUUUCCAACGAAAAUGUACAUGAUUCAGCCAGUUGGUUACUCUUUAAAAAGUCAAUGCACUAGCAGUAUGUAUUAAUCAAGAACACUCUAGAAAGAGUAAUGCACCUGCAUAAUUGGUACUUUCAGCAAGAUUUAAAGGAAAUAAAACCUAGGCAGUAUUAAGUAUCUCACCAAUUUCAAUGUAUUCAUUAUCCUUCUGUACUAAUUUCGCCUUGGGUUGCAAACACCCUUUGAAUCAUACCUUAAAGGCACAAGCUCUCCGAUCGUAUUCACCUGGCUCACCUUUCCUCACCUCCCUCAGCCCCAACAUUGCCUUCCAGCUUUUCCAGGCUUGAUAGAAAACACACAACUUCUCUCCCAACACACUGGCAUAUGCACACACACAUCAAAUCACCACGUCCUCUGUAGGGCACACUGCUAGUGAUGAGCUUACCCCAUCGUUACUGCUUAAAAUCAUGUGUUUUCCGGAAAAGGAGGCUUUUACUGCUCCCGUAAUCUCUUCUAGGAGACCUUCUUCAUUGUGAUUUAACCAAUUUUAAACUUUGUAAUGGAAUUGAAUCAUUAACAAACCGUUUUCCAUAGUCACUUAUCUAUGGUUGUUAAUCUCAAAAACAUCCUCUAAUGUUGAGUGCAACAGAUCUAAUAGGCCAGGGCCACCGUCUUAACACAAGUUCCCUUGGUUUAAGAACAAAACCCCACUUCAGACUGUUAAAGCAAAAAAGGAAUUCAUUGGCAAGAUACCGAAACAUGUCAUGGAAUCCGUGAGAAAGAAGGGCAAGACCAAAGAACCGCGAGGAUACUCUGCUUUUCUGUCUGGAGGCUGGUUUCUGUCCUUCAGCAGGGACUGAAUCUCAUAUCCAGAUUCUCAGGAGAAAGAACGUGGCUUGAGAUGUCAAACCAGGGCGUUGGAGAAGGAACAGGCUGCUGUGACUGGACCCAGCCCUUCGUUUGGAAAGGACAGUUCCCAGAAUGGAGACAGUAGCUGGGAAAAGGAGGCCUACAACUGGAAACCACACCAAUGAGGGAAGGGAGAAAUUUUUUACCAAACUCAAGUCUUGGGAAUCCCUCUGUUCACUCUGUAACUAUCUAUUCCAUCUAUGCAAAGGGCCAAAUCCAGCUUCUCAUGUGUAGAGAAGAAAGCGACCCACUAGGGAGCUCUCAGAACCUGCCCUCUGAGCCCAUCCUUGCCCCUUCCGGACAUCGAGCUGCCUUGAUUAGGAAAAUGCACCCGUGGAGAGGGGCAGACAUCUAGCAAGACUGUGCUUCUCCAGGUAUUUUCCACUAAAUGGAAUCUGGCUCCUUAGAGAAAUGGUGGACUCCAGGUCUGAGGAAAGAAAUAUACAAGAAAGCAAUCAAAAGAACACUAGAGUCAUCAUCAAAGGAUUCAGGAACCACCUUGAAGAGACUCUCAGUGGCUAAAGAUGGGUCCAUUUUAGCGUCUAGAAGGAUGAUAAUGGCAAUUAGUUGUAACAUUUCAACUGUUUGUCAAAUGAUAUGAGAAAAAUAAUUAGUCACCACUAAAACCAACUCAUUAUUUUGAAAAAUGAUAAACAGAGGGACGGAAAGAAACCAUCUUGUUUUCGCUAAGAAAUUAUACCACGGAAAAUCAAGUAGCAGAUGAGGAGGUUUUUUUCAUUAUAGAAAUAUCCUAGAUAACAAAUAGAAGGGAUGAUAAAAUCAUCAUUAGAUGAUAUUAGAAUACCAUCAUUUUUCCACCUUGGAUAAAGUAGGAUCAAGGCAUGAGCUUCAGUGGUUGCUAACGUCACAAAAAAGAGACACUAAACUAUCACUAUCUUGCUUUGAAAGAGAUAACCUGAAUCUGAUCAAACUGCUAGAAUAGAUUAAGCUACCAGCUAUCAAUUAUAAAAAAAAUACAAGAGCCCAGGAAUAUGUUCAAACAGACCUCAAGAGAAGCAGUCAGCAAAAUGUGAGGUAUGGAAAACUCUAGAUGAAAUUUUUCUUUAAAAACAAAUACAUCUCAACAAUAAGGGAAUGAAUUAGGGGUAAGUUUACAGAUUAAAAAAGACUUAAAAGAUGUAUCAACUAUCACAACAUGUGACCUUAUUUGUAUCCUGAUUUAAGUAAACUCAAACAAAAAGCUGUUUAUGCCAUUUAUGAAGACAUUUGAACACUGAUUAGACAUUAAUGAAUUAUUGUAAAAUAUUUUAGAUAUGAUAACUGGUAUUGUGUCUAUGUUAAAAAUAAAGAGUCCUCUUCUUUUAUAUUUUUUAAAAAUGUUCAUUAUUUGAGAAAGAGA